rnacentral:rRNA from 1 species
AUACGGAGGACGCGAGCGUUAUCCGGAUUCAUUGGGUUUAAAGGGUGCGCAGGCGGCCGUGCAAGUCAGCGGUGAAAGCCCGGGGCUCAACCCCGGAAGUGCCGUUGAUACUGCAUGGCUGGAAUGCGGUCGAGGCGGGCGGAACGUGGCGGGUAGCGGGGAAAUGCGUAGAUAUGCCACAGAAAGCCGAUAGCGGAGGCAGCUCGCCAGGCCUGCAUUGACGCUCGGGCACGAAAGCGUGGGGAUCGAACAGGAUUAGAUACCCUGGUAGUCCACGCCGUAAACGAUGGGCGCUCGUCGUCGGCGGCAGACAGUCGGCGGCCAAGCGAAAGCGAUAAGCGCCCCACCUGGGGAGUACGGUCGCAAGGUUGAAACUCAAAGGAAUUGACGGGG